GGCCUCGUGGCCCAAUGGCAAGGCGUCUGACUACGAGUAGAGAAUCUGAUGUAAAACUUAAUUCUCUGAGAUAAUCAGGAGAUUCUGGGUUCGACCCCCAGCGAGGUCA